CUUUUAAGGGGCUCUCCUUACCCACUCCCUUCUUGCCUACGAUUUCUUGGUUUAUAAUGCCCCUUAAAUGCCCACCGCACUCGUUCAUAUCUUCGACACGAACCUAAAAACAAAUUUCCCUUAGGAAAUUAUUUAUGUUAUUCCUGAAUGCAUUCAUCUUUGUUCCCAGCAAUCAGCUGUUUGAAGUUUCUAUAACAAAGAUGGAUGACAGAACGAAGGUGACAGACAUCCCAUGAACAAGAAGAAAAAAUAUAACCAAAUAGGUACACCAAAUAAAACAAAACAAAUUGGAAAACCCUCCAUUUCUAUAAUUUUAAUUAUUUUCCAUCAACCACCACACUAUUGAAACAACAAUCCCAUCCGUAUUGACGUGUUCGCAGCUUGGCCUUGACCACACGGAUGCGGGUGAUCUGUGGCGAUGGUAAGAGCUUCCCAACUGUGGGUGCUUCCUGGUCCAUUUAUCUUCGUCAAUAGCACGACAAGGCAGCCACAACAAAACAUCGGUUUUGCCAUGGUGUUAACGCGGCAGAGACGAUGGAAGGAUGCCUCAUAUGUACCAAUGUUUUCGAACGGUGGGGACUAACCCACUUACCCACAAGCCGGGCAAUACCUUUUUUGUGGUCUUUUCCCAUUUUUAGGUGAAAAAUUAUAUUACUUGGUUUACUCAAGGCUGACGAUUUAUCGAAGAUUUAUGGUUACACUACCUACUAAAACUAAAAUUUGGUGAGUGAUCUAGCCACUAAUUAGGUUAAGCAUUACCUAUUUGUUCUUGUACUAGUUUAGUAACAGUAUUAUCAACGAUACUUCCAAUCUAAUUUUGUAAGGCGUUUUGUGUGCGAAAAAUAAAAACAUUGUUAAGAUAC